GACGAACCGAGCGAACGUUGUUCGGAAUAACUGGGCUUAAAGGGCGCGUAGGCGGGCCGCCAAGUUCGAGGUGAAAUCCUCCGGCUCAACCGGAGAACUGCCUCGAAUACUGGAGGCCUCGAGGCGGGUAGGGGCAUGCGGAACUGCGGGUGGAGCGGUGAAAUGCGUUGAUAUCCACAGGAACUCCGGUGGCGAAGGCGGCAUGCUGGACCCGAUCUGACGCUGAGGCGCGAAAGCCAGGGGAGCAAACGGG
rnacentral:rRNA from 1 species